UGGGGAAUAUUGCACAAUGGGCGCAAGCCUGAUGCAGCCAUGCCGCGUGUAUGAAGAAGGCCUUCGGGUUGUAAAGUACUUUCAGCGGGGAGGAAGGUGUUGAGGUUAAUAACCUCAGCAAUUGACGUUACCCGCAGAAGAAGCACCGGCUAACUCCGUGCCAGCAGCCGCGGUAAUACGGAGGGUGCAAGCGUUAAUCGGAAUUACUGGGCGUAAAGCGCACGCAGGCGGUCUGUCAAGUCGGAUGUGAAAGCCCCGGGCUCAACCUGGGAACUGCAUUCGAAACUGGCAGGCUAGAGUCUUGUAGAGGGGGGUAGAAUUCCAGGUGUAGCGGUGAAAUGCGUAGAGAUCUGGAGGAAUACCGGUGGCGAAGGCGGCCCCCUGGACAAAGACUGACGCUCAGGUGCGAAAGCGUGGGAAGCAAACA
rnacentral:rRNA from 1 species